rnacentral:lncRNA from 1 species
UUGUUGUUUUAAAUUCUCCUGUUUCAAACCCUGGCUCUUACUCUUCUUCUCUUUCUUUUUUUUUUUUUUUUUUGGUUUUUCAAGACAGGGUUUCUCUGUGUAGCCCUGGCUGUCCUGGAACUCACUCUGUAGACCAGGCUGGCCUGGAACUCAGAAAUCCGCCUGCCUCUGCCUCCCUAGUGCUGGGAUUAAAGGCAUGCACCACCACGCCCCGCCUCUUCUUCUCUUUCUAAGGUUGUAUAAGUUAGAGUCAGAGAAGGCUUGGAAUUCUUUACCGCCAUCUCACCUUCCCUCUGUGACCUUGCCCAGGUCUACUAAUAACAUUUCACGGGCUGGGGAAAUUGUGUUCUUUUCUGCCGACCUGAUGUGAGUUAGUGUAGACCCACACCUGGCAGCAUUCUGGCGCUCUGCAAUGCUGACAACCGGAUCGCUGUCACUUCUCCAUCCCCUGGGCUCCCUGUCUCACUGCUCUUCCACACCCGUCUCCAGGCAGAAACAGUAUUCGGAUCUCUGUCUCUGAUCGUUGAUGUUUAUCCUCCUUUGUCCAAAUUGGCUUUGGGAUCCUCUUUCCUCAUAGGCUCUUAGUCUGCCAGCAUGUCAGAACUGUGGCAGACACGCUCUGGUACUUUCCCAUGGAGGAAUAUCUCUUGGUUUCCUACUCCAGGAAGAGAUGGAACACCUAGUUCACACUGACCAUCAGACACUAAGUUUUCCAAGUUCUUUACCAAGGGGUUGGCACUGCAUCUGGAGAGUCUCCAUUCCCUUGAAGAAAUGGUCUUUCAAGCACCAUUGCUCUCAUCAGAAUUAAUUCCAAUGCAGGGCAGAUGGUUAGUAACCAGAGAUGGACAGGUCAGGAUCAGAGACUAUUUCUAUUAAAGUGAUGGGUUUAGCUGGGAUGUAGGUAUAGUGAGCUCAACAAAAGGCAUUCAGAGCCAGAGGUGUACCAGGAGUGGGAGCAUUCAAAAGAGGCCUUAGGAUCUUUCUACAGAUGCUGUGGGACUGACGACAUUUAAGAGUGCACCAGCAGAUUUAACUGUGGGGUGUGGAAGGAAUCUCUUAUGCCUGUUUGGAAGCUUCACCCGUCAAAUAAAGCUGAUUGGCCUGUAGCUGAGGCAGGAAGUAGAAGCUGGGAGUUCUGGUAGGAAGUAAGGCCUCCAUGACAGAGGGUGGGUGGGAUUCCUCUGGAACCAUGAGGGACAGCAGAAGCAUGGGAACCACGCAGAGGUAAUUAGCCACAUGGCAGAACUUAGAUUAGAGUAGAUGGCUUAUUAAGUUAAAAAUCUAAUCAGGGAGCCAACCAAAGCUCAUGGCCAAGGUGUUUGUACAUAUAAUUAAUUGAGUCUCAGAGACUUUCUUUCUGGGAGCAGGGUUGUGGGCGGGAAAACACAUCUCAACAGAGCUGCAGCCAGCUGCCAGGUGCUGGAGCUCUCUGAUCCAGAGAAGGAAGAUAAAGUUUUCUUUAUCACCUCAGGGCUGUUUUACUGAGUCACUUGUAAAUUGGGGCCUUCACUUAAUGACCACAUAAAGUACAACUUGACCUGUAAAAUCAAGGCAAAUAUAUUGAGUAUCCAUUUUUCAGUUUGUGCUGUAUUAUAUAGUGUACAUCAAUGAUAAGAUUAGAAAAAAAAAAAACAUUCCUACAAUGUUAUAUACCAUCGAUGAAAACACACCCAAAAAUGCAUCACCAUUGCAAUUAAAAUGUAAUUGUAUAUAGUUAAAUGGUGAGGAUUUUAAUCAUGCUGUAAUUAUGGGAACCUAGAAUUUUGUAUUUGAGUCAAGAACCAAGUCUUCUAAUCUUCUCCUUGGAGGGGAGCACUUUCUGAAAGAUGUGUUACUGUGACAGGAUAUAUGAGAAAACGUUGUGAGCAUCC